rnacentral:rRNA from 1 species
AUAGUACUUUUAUCCUGCCUGGGAUGUGAGUUAAAUGUUCAAGGUAUCGGAUGGGCAUGCGUCCUAUUAGUUAGUUGGCGGGGUAACAGCCCACCAAGACGAUGAUAGGUAGGGGUUCUGAGAGGAAGGUCCCCCACAUUGGAACUGAGACACGGUCCAAACUCCUACGGGAGGCAGCAGUGAGGAAUAUUGGUCAAUGGACGUAAGUCUGAACCAGCCAAGUCGCGUGAGGGAAGACUGCCCUAUGGGUUGUAAACCUCUUUUAUAAGGGAAGAAUAAGUUCUACGUGUAGAAUGAUGCCUGUACCUUAUGAAUAAGCAUCGGCUAACUCCGUGCCAGCAGCCGCGGUAAUACGGAGGAUGCGAGCGUUAUCCGGAUUUAUUGGGUUUAAAGGGUGCGUAGGCGGUUUAUUAAGUUAGUGGUUAAAUAUUUGAGCUAAACUCAAUUGUGCCAUUAAUACUGGUAAACUGGAGUACAGACGAGGUAGGCGGAAUAAGUUAAGUAGCGGCGAAAUGCAUAGAUAUAACUUAGAACUCCGAUAGCGAAGGCAGCUUACCAGACUGUAACUGACGCUGAUGCACGAGAGCGUGGGUAGCGAACAGGAUUAGAUACCCUGGUAGUCCACGCCGUAAACGAU